rnacentral:lncRNA from 1 species
CCACUGUACUCCAGCCUGGACAACAGAGCUAGACCCUGUCUCAAACAAUAAUAACUAAAAAGGAUGGAACAAAAUGCAUGUAAUGUUCUUGUCAUAGAGAUAGCAUUUGAUUAAUGUUUGCUAUUAUUAUUCUUAUUGACAAAUGUCUGAAUUCCAGGAGGAUUCUAGAAAUUAUGAAGCAGACAGCAUCAUUGGAAGAAAAAAAAUGUGCUGCUGCCCAUAGCAACUACUAUGAGACCAUCACACUACUGACUGUAGAGGAGUGAUUGUGAAGAAGGCAGCCACUCUCACCAGCUGGGGCUGAUGUGCUGGUAUCUUGGCCAAUGAGAUGGGACCAGCACUCUUGUCUGAUGUCUCAUUGGUAGCCUUCAUUAGAGGAGCUUCCUGGGCUGGAUGAGAAAAAUGAAGCCCAGAGAUGUAAAGACACUUGUUCAAGAGUACACAGCUUCUAGGAGGAAGCACUGGAUUAGAACUGGGUUUCCUGACUCCCUAUCCUUUGCAGCCCACAACUUUGGAGAGCAUAGGUCUCAAAGACCAAGACAGGAACCAGAAGGGGUGGACGGAGUCAUGCUCCAUGGUCUUAAUUGGCUAGCCCACCCUUGCCCUUCCCUCCUUGUCUCUUCUACCAGCUUGUGAGCUCCAGGCGGGCAGGGAUAGUCCUUGUUCAUUUCUCGAUCCCCAAUGUCCAGGAUUAGCACUCACUAAGUGUUGUUGCUGAAAAACUGCAUCAUACAUGGAUGAAAGGAUCACCCAGGGAUGACCUUGACAUCACAAAUAAGGAAGGAACAGGACAGCCUGUGAGGUCACUGCGGUGACCUCCUUCGCAGAGGACCUCUGGUACUGCUCCAGCCACCAGUAAGCCCACUGCCUCUGGGCACUGCUCAAUGCUGCCCUUACCUGGACCCAGACCAUCAAGCUUGUCACAGGCUCCCCCCAGGCAUCCCAGACAUGACAUCCAAGACAGUUUCCUGUUACUCUCCAUCCUGCUGGAGAGUUCCAAUGACCUAUGGCAUGAAUACUCCAGACAAAGUGUUCCAGCCUUCCCCAGAAACCUCAAAAGUCUCUCAGGCACUCCAAGACUUCCAAGGCCAAAAAACUCAAGAUGUCUUUAAACAAGACCAAAGACCCCCUCAGGAAUCUGGCCAAGAAGCCCCCCAAGAAGGCUAGGCCCAGCACUUUUGAGCCUAGAUCUUUCUACUGCCUUGACCUCUGCCCCCUCCCACCAGAGCAGCUACAGGCCCCAGAGCCCCAGUUACCCUUAUCAAUCUCAGAGGCCACAGAUGUCUAUCUCCCUGAGGAUUUCCCAGCUGAGCCCAAGCUCAUGGACCAGUCCUGGGUGUCCAGGAAGAGCCUGAAACCAUCCAAGAGUCAUCUUAUGGAGCCACCCACUCCAGUGGCCAAGCACCAAAAGGCAAAGACCCGACAUAGGAGUGAGAAGAAACAAAACAAAUAAAUGCUUGGCAUCUCCAUCGACCUGGUCCUUUUCAGCCCAGACCUAUCAGCUCCAGACAUCCCAAAACAUCACCCUAUUCCAGAGGCCACAGAAUUCAUGAUUCCAGAUAAUUCGUGUUAGUCUUUGCUAUUCAAUAAACUCCUGGCUGCA